ACGGGUGAGUAACACGUGGGAACGUGCCCUUCGGUUCGGAAUAACUCAGGGAAACUUGAGCUAAUACCGGAUACGCCCUUUUGGGGAAAGGUUUACUGCCGAAGGAUCGGCCCGCGUCUGAUUAGCUAGUUGGUGGGGUAACGGCCUACCAAGGCGACGAUCAGUAGCUGGUCUGAGAGGAUGAUCAGCCACACUGGGACUGAGACACGGCCCAGACUCCUACGGGAGGCAGCAGUGGGGAAUAUUGGACAAUGGGCGCAAGCCUGAUCCAGCCAUGCCGCGUGAGUGAUGAAGGCCUUAGGGUUGUAAAGCUCUUUUGUCCGGGACGAUAAUGACGGUACCGGAAGAAUAAGCCCCGGCUAACUUCGUGCCAGCAGCCGCGGUAAUACGAAGGGGGCUAGCGUUGCUCGGAAUCACUGGGCGUAAAGGGCGCGUAGGCGGCUUUUUAAGUCGGGGGUGAAAGCCUGUGGCUCAACCACAGAAUUGCCUUCGAUACUGGAAAGCUUGAGACCGGAAGAGGACAGCGGAACUGCGAGUGUAGAGGUGAAAUUCGUAGA
rnacentral:rRNA from 1 species